CGCGCAGGCGGUUGGUCACGUCGGGUGUGAAAGCCCCCCGCUCAACGGGGGAAGGUCACUCGAAACGGGUUAACUGGAGGCAGGGAGAGGUCGGUGGAAUUCCCGGUGUAGCGGUGAUAUGCGUAGAGACCGGGAGGAACACCAGAGGCGAAGGCGGCCGACUGGACCUGACCUGACGCUGAGGCGCGAAGGCGUGGGGAGCGAACG
rnacentral:rRNA from 1 species